AUUGAACGCUGGCGGCAGGCCUAACACAUGCAAGUCGAACGAGUGGCGGACGGGUGAGUAAUGUCUGGGAAACUGCCUGAUGGAGGGGGAUAACUACUGGCAACGGUAGCUAAUACCGCAUACCAUCGGAUGUGCCCAUAUGGGAUUAGCUUGUUGGUGGGGUAACGGCUAACCUAGGCUACGAUCCCUAGCUGGUCUGAGAGGAUGACCAGCCACACUGGAACUGAGACACGGUCCAGACUCCUACGGGAGGCAGCAGUGGGGAAUAUUGCACAAGGGGGGCAAGCCUGAUGCAGCCAUGCCGCGUGUGUGAAGAAGGCCUUCGGGUUGUAAAGCACUUUCAGCAGGGAGGCGUUACCCGCAGAAGAAGCACCGGCUAACUCCGUGCCAGCAGCCGCGGUAAUUC
rnacentral:rRNA from 1 species